rnacentral:rRNA from 1 species
UACAGAGGGGCAAGCGUUGUUCGGAAUUACUGGGCGUAAAGGGCGCGUAGGCGGCCUUCUAAGUCGAACGUGAAAUCCCCGGGCUCAACCCGGGAACUGCGUCCGAUACUGGAAGGCUUGAAUCCGGGAGAGGGAUGUGGAAUUCCAGGUGUAGCGGUGAAAUGCGUAGAUAUCUGGAGGAACACCGGUGGCGAAGGCGGCGUUCUGGACUGCAACUGACACUGAGGAACGAAAGCCAGGGAGCGAACAGG